UCAGCGGAAUGCCCCUGCGCGGCAGGAAGUGGUUGUGUAGACGGAGAGACGCCCUCGCAGGUUUUCGAAACGGCGACGGUUUGCGUUGUUUACGGUUGUUCGAAUCCAUAAACCUGAGUAAACACGUUAAACUUUUAUCGAGUACCACAGGUUGGUUUUCACAGCGAAGAAAAUGAAAGAAGCUGACCAAAAACGCCACUUGGUGUCGGAUAAGCCUCGUGAGUGACCACCUCGUUAAAGCUGUGGAUGCAGACAGAGGAUGAGAAGCUGAUGGGUCUGCAGCACGAGGACUCCUUCUGAUUGGAAGGCUUUCUCUGACUGAAUCCCAGCUGACCACACAGCCUCACCUGAUAGGACCUCACCUGAUGGGACUGUCAGCUGUGACCAGUUUGUAAGAUAAAGUUCCCACGCUGCAGAGACAGAUGAGUUAAUCUGAGCCUGAGAGCUGGAGACGAUGGAUUCUGCCUCAUCAAGCAGGGAGAUGAUGUUACACCAAACAGGAGCCAUGUUUACUUCCUCUCCUCCAGGACUCAGACUUCAGCUCAUAAAG